AAAAAAAAAAAAAAAAAAAAAGAGAAGCCGAACUGUUUCUAUUUGUCCUUUAUCCGCAAUUGGAUCCGUACUCACGGGAAUUGACUACAUAGGUCUAGGCCAUGUGAUGGUGUUUGCUAAUGGGGAUUACUCCCAAGCUUUGGAAGAAUUAUCAAGAGAGCAGUAAGGUUGGAGACACGAAAAGGCAGUUACGGGGUUGCAGUGGGAGUGGUGUUUACAGAGGUUGAUGACAAUGAUAUUGAUGAUUUAGCAUAAAAUACAUGUGGCUGAAGAGAAUCACAAAAUGAGCAUUCCUUGGUGGAAUUAAUAUAUAUAUUGAGUCCAAGUAGCUGAAGGAACUAUGUUUAAGGACCUAUGUUGUUAAUCAUGAUGAAAUAGUUUUAUUUGGUUUUUUGUUUUGUUUUUUUAAGGACCUAUGUUGGAAUACUGUUUUUGCUUCAAUUUAAUGUCAUUAACAGUGUGUUUUUAAGGACCUAUGUUGGAAUACUGUUAUUUAAGGACAUAUGCCUCAUUUUUUUUGAUUUUCUACUGCUCACCUCUUGUUUUGAGGGGGUACCUGCAGCUUUGUGUGUUUGCUUUUUUAAUAACAAUUUCUUAGGGAUGAUCUAUCUUUGUUUGUGGUUCUAAAUAACAGGUAGUAUAGCUGCUUU